rnacentral:rRNA from 1 species
CCUACGGGAGGCAGCAGUGAGGAAUAUUGGUCAAUGGGCGAGAGCCUGAACCAGCCAAGUCGCGUGAGGGAGGACGGUCCUAUGGAUUGUAAACCUCUUUUGCCGGGGAGCAAAAAGCGGUACGUGUACCGCAUCGAGAGUACCCGGAGAAAAAGCAUCGGCUAACUCCGUGCCAGCAGCCGCGGUAAUACGGAGGAUGCGAGCGUUAUCCGGAUUUAUUGGGUUUAAAGGGUGCGCAGGCGGCGAGUUAAGUCAGCGGUAAAAUUUCGGGGCUCAACCCCGACAAGCCGUUGAAACUGGCGUGCUAGAGUGGGCGAGAAGUAUGCGGAAUGCGUGGUGUAGCGGUGAAAUGCAUAGAUAUCACGCAGAACUCCGAUUGCGAAGGCAGCAUACCGGCGCCCAACUGACGCUCAGGCACGAAAGCGUGGGUAUCGAACAGGAUUAGAUACCCCUGUAGUC